UACGUAGGGUGCGAGCGUUGUCCGGAAUUACUGGGCGUAAAGAGCUCGUAGGUGGUUUGUCGCGUUGUCCGUGAAAACUCACAGCUUAACUGUGGGCGUGCGGGCGAUACGGGCAGACUGGAGUACUGCAGGGGAGACUGGAAUUCCUGGUGUAGCGGUGGAAUGCGCAGAUAUCAGGAGGAACACCGGUGGCGAAGGCGGUGGUCUGGGCCGGCACUGACGCUGAGGAGCGAAAGCGUGGGGAGCAAACAGG
rnacentral:rRNA from 1 species